CCUACGGGUGGCUGCAGUCGAGAAUCAUUCACAAUGGGGGAAACCCUGAUGGUGCGACGCCGCGUGGGGGAAUGAAGGUCUUCGGAUUGUAAACCCCUGUCAUGUGGGAGCAAAUUAAAAAGAUAGUACCGCAAGAGGAAGAGACGGCUAACUCUGUGCCCGCAGCCGCAGUAAUACAGAGGUCGCAAGCGUUGUUCGGAUUCACUGGGAGUAAAGGGUGCGUAGGCGGUUUCGUAAGUCGUGUGUGAAAGGCGCGGGCUCAACCCGCGAACGGCACAUGAUCGUGGGAGACUCGAGUAAUGGAGGGGGAACCGGAAUUCUCGGUGUAGGAGUGAAAUGCGUAGAUAGCGGGAGGAACACUCGUGGCGAAGGCGAGUACCUGGACAAUAACUGACGCUGAGGCGCGAAGGCCAGGGGAGCGAAAGGGAUUAGAUACCCGAGUAGUC
rnacentral:rRNA from 1 species